GACGAACGCUGGCGGCGUGCUUAACACAUGCGAGUCGAACGGAAAGGCCUCUUUCGGGGGGUACUCGAGUGGCGAACGGGUGAGUAACACGUGAGUAACCUGCCCUUGACUUUGGGAUAACUUCAGGAAACUGGGGCUAAUACCGGAUAGGAGCUCCUGCUGCAUGGUGGGGGUUGGAAAGUUUCGGCGGUUGGGGAUGGACUCGCGGCUUAUCAGCUUGUUGGUGGGGUAGUGGCUUACCAAGGCUUUGACGGGUAGCCGGCCUGGGAGGGUGACCGGCCACAUUGGGACUGAGAUACGGCCCAGACUCCUACGGGAGGCAGCAGUGGGGAAUAUUGCACAAUGGGUGGAAGCCUGAUGCAGCAACGCCGUGUGCGGGAUGACGGCCUUCGGGUUGGAAACCGCUUUCGCUCAUGACGAAGCUUUGUGUGACGGUAGUGGGUAAAGAAGCACCGGCUAACUACGUG
rnacentral:rRNA from 1 species